rnacentral:rRNA from 1 species
GAUGAACGCUAGCGAUAGGCUUAACACAUGCAAGUCGAGGGGCAGCACAAGGUAGCUUGCUAUCUGGGUGGCGACCGGCGCACGGGUGCGUAACGCGUAUGCAACUUGCCCUAUACAGGAGGAUAACCCGUCGAAAGACGGACUAAUACUGCGUAUGCUCACAACUUGGCAUCAAGUGGUGAGGAAAGAAAUUCGGUAUAGGAUAGGCAUGCGUCCCAUUAGCUUGUUGGUGAGGUAACGGCUCACCAAGGCAACGAUGGGUAGGGGAACUGAGAGGUUUAUCCCCCACACUGGUACUGAGACACGGACCAGACGCCUACGGGAGGGAGCAGUGAGGAAUAUUGGUCAAGGGGCGCGAGCCUGAACCAGCCAAGUCGCGUGAAGGAGGACUGUCUUAUGGAUUGUAAACUUCUUUUAUACGGGAAUAACAAGAGUCACGGGUGACUACCUGCAUGUACCGUAUGAAUAAGCAUCGGCUAACUCCGUG